rnacentral:rRNA from 1 species
UUGAGUUUGAUCAUGGCUCAGAUUGAACGCUGGCGGCAGGCCUAACACAUGCAAGUCGAGCGGAAACGAUGGAAGCUUGCUUCCAGGCGUCGAGCGGCGGACGGGUGAGUAAUGCAUGGGAAUCUGCCCGAUAGUGGGGGAUAACCUGGGGAAACCCAGGCUAAUACCGCAUACGUCCUACGGGAGAAAGCAGGGGAUCUUCGGACCUUGCGCUAUCGGAUGAGCCCAUGUCGGAUUAGCUUGUUGGUGAGGUAAUGGCUCACCAAGGCGACGAUCCGUAGCUGGUCUGAGAGGAUGAUCAGCCACAUCGGGACUGAGACACGGCCCGAACUCCUACGGGAGGCAGCAGUGGGGAAUAUUGGACAAUGGGCGAAAGCCUGAUCCAGCCAUGCCGCGUGUGUGAAGAAGGCCCUCGGGUUGUAAAGCACUUUCAGUGGGGAAGAAAGCCUUGGGAUUAAUACUACCCGAUGGAAG